GUUCCCUAUGAUGCUUCAGAUUAAACCAUGCUAAUUCUGAUAACUACAUGAUCGGAUCUUUCUUUAUUUAUUUGCUGAGGGAAUU